rnacentral:ncRNA from 1 species
UCUGGACGUGGACAGGAUUGACAGAUUGAGAGCUCUUUCUCGAUUCUGUGGGUCGUGGUGCAUGGCCGUUCUUAGUUGGUGGAGUGAUUUGUCUGGUUAAUUCUGAUAACGAACGAGACUCUGGCAUGCUGACUAGUUAUGUGACCCCCGAGCGGUCGGCGUU